GGGCCGGUAGGCUAAUGGUAGACCGACUACCUCUCCAGUAGAGACUGCGGGUUCGAAUCCCGUCCGGUCCA
rnacentral:tRNA from 1 species